rnacentral:rRNA from 1 species
GACAGCAGUAGCCGCGGGAAUACGAAGGGGGCCAGCGUUGCUCGGAAUUACUGGGCGUAAAGGGAGCGUAGGCGGACAUUUAAGUCAGGGGUGAAAUCCCAGAGCUCAACUCUGGAACUGCCUUUGAUACUGGGUGUCUUGAGUGUGAUAGAGGUAUGUGGAACUCCGAGUGUAGAGGUGAAAUUCGUAGAUAUUCGGAAGAACACCAGUGGCGAAGGCGACAUACUGGAUCAUUACUGACGCUGAGGCUCGAAAGCGUGGGGAGCAAACAGGAUUAGAUACCCCAGUAGUCCCUGUCUCUUAUAC